rnacentral:rRNA from 1 species
GUUUGAUCCUGGCUCAGGAUGAACGCUGGCGGCGUGCUUAACACAUGCAAGUCGAACGAACCUUCGGGUUAGUGGCGGACGGGUGAGUAACGCGUGAGAAUCUGCCCUCAGGAGGGGGAUAACGGCUGGAAACGGCCGCUAAUACCCCAUAUGCCGAGAGGUGAAAUGAAUUUCGCCUGAGGAUGAGCUCGCGUCUGAUUAGCUAGUUGGUAAGGUAAGAGCUUACCAAGGCAUCGAUCAGUAGCUGGUCUGAGAGGAUGAUCAGCCACACUGGGACUGAGACACGGCCCAGACUCCUACGGGAGGCAGCAGUGGGGAAUUUUCCGCAAUGGGCGAAAGCCUGACGGAGCAACGCCGCGUGAGGGAUGAAGGCCUCUGGGCUGUAAACCUCUUUUCUCAAGGAAGAAGACAUGACGGUACUUGAGGAAUAAGCCACGGCUAAUUCCGUGCCAGCAGCCGCGGUAAUACGGGAGUGGCAAGCGUUAUCCGGAAUUAUUGGGCGUAAAGCGUCCGCAGGCGGCCUUUUAAGUCUGUUGUUAAAGCGUGGAGCUCAACUCCAUUUCGGCAAUGGAAACUGGGAGGCUGGAGUGUGGUAGGGGCAGAGGGAAUUCCCGGUGUAGCGGUGAAAUGCGUAGAUAUCGGGAAGAACACCAGUGGCGAAGGCGCUCUGCUGGGCCAUAACUGACGCUCAUGGACGAAAGCCAGGGGAGCGAAAGGGAUUAGAUACCCCUGUAGUCCUGGCCGUAAACGAUGAACACUAGGUGUCGGGGGAAUCGACCCCCUCGGUGUCGUAGCCAACGCGUUAAGUGUUCCGCCUGGGGAGUACGCACGCAAGUGUGAAACUCAAAGGAAUUGACGGGGGCCCGCACAAGCGGUGGAGUAUGUGGUUUAAUUCGAUGCAACGCGAAGAACCUUACCAGGGUUUGACAUCCUGCGAAUCCCUUGGAAACUAGGGAGUGCCUUCGGGAGCGCAGAGACAGGUGGUGCAUGGCUGUCGUCAGCUCGUGUCGUGAGAUGUUGGGUUAAGUCCCGCAACGAGCGCAACCCACGUCUUUAGUUGCCAGCAUUUAGUUGGGCACUCUAGAGAGACCGCCGGUGAUAAACCGGAGGAAGGUGUGGAUGACGUCAAGUCAUCAUGCCCCUUACAUCCUGGGCUACACACGUACUACAAUGCUACGGACAAAGGGCAGCAAACUCGCGAGAGCUAGCAAAUCCCAUAAACCGUGGCUCAGUUCAGAUCGUAGGCUGCAACUCGCCUACGUGAAGGAGGAAUCGCUAGUAAUCGCAGGUCAGCAUACUGCGGUGAAUACGUUCCCGGGCCUUGUACACACCGCCCGUCACACCAUGGAAGUUGGCCACGCCCGAAGCCGUUACUCCAACCCUUGUGGAGGAGGACGUCGAAGGUGGGGCUGAUGACUGGGGUGAAGUCGUAACAAGGUA